rnacentral:rRNA from 1 species
AGCUCCAAUAGCGUAUAUUAAAGUUGUUGCAGUUAAAAAGCUCGUAGUCGAAUUUUGAGCUUGGAUGAGUGGUCUGUCUUUGGAUGAGCACUGCAUCAUUUGAGUUCCACUUUCUGGGGAGUUGCGGUGCACUUAAUUGUGUGCCGUGAGGAUCCAGGACUUUUACUUUGAAGAAAUUAGAGUGUUUAAAGCAGGCCUAUGCUUGAAUACAUUAGCAUGGAAUAAUAGAAUAGGACUUUGGUUCUAUUUUGUUGGUUUCUAGGACCGAAGUAAUGAUUAAUAGGGAUAGUUGGGGGCAUUAGUAUUUAAUUGUCAGAGGUGAAAUUCUUGGAUUUAUGAAAGACUAACUUCUGCGAAAGCAUUUGCCAAGGAUGUUUUCA